CCAAGUCUAUGAGUCAUCGUGUCAGAAUUUUGCUACAGAUUUACAGAGGGUCCAGGUUUGCAAUUGUGAACAAAUCAUUACAUUUGCACUGAAAGCAGAGAUGUGGGAUUGCUCGCAUUUUCGAUGGAUUCUUUACAUUCGCGAACCCCAUGUCACAUUUGCGACAUCUGCGCCUGGACAAAAAGCUGAGAAAACGGGAUUUAGCUCAUUUUUCACACUCUCAACUCUAAAUGCCCUAGAGGUGAUUUUUCCAAGUGAUCUUCUUCCUAAGUACAUUGAUCAAUUUUCAUUAGAUUCAGUUGGUUCGGAGGCGAAUUUUAGAGGAAAGGCCCCGGUUGAGCUUUGAUUUGCUUGCGGAGCGAGAUUUUAGAGUCGGUCCAAGCGGCGAUCAGUAUAUUGCUCGGAUUGAUUGGAUGAUGGAGACUUGAGGUUUAGCUGCUCGAUGUUCGCAGCCCUGAAGUCCCCUUCUACAUUAUUCUAGCUGUUUAUUUCACUUCAGAUAGUUAUACUUUCAUUUAGAUAAUUAUUUGUAUUAUUCUAGUCGCUCGUGUACUUGUGACACUAGUUCAGGGAUUGUAUCUAGAUA